rnacentral:rRNA from 1 species
AGCUUGCUCUUCUUGGAUGAGUUGCGAACGGGUGAGUAACGCGUAGGUAACCUGCCUUGUAGCGGGGGAUAACUAUUGGAAACGAUAGCUAAUACCGCAUAACAAUGGGUGACACAUGUCAUUUAUUUGAAAGGGGCAAUUGCUCCACUACAAGAUGGACCUGCGUUGUAUUAGCUAGUAGGUGAGGUAACGGCUCACCUAGGCGACGAUACAUAGCCGACCUGAGAGGGUGAUCGGCCACACUGGGACUGAGACACGGCCCAGACUCCUACGGGAGGCAGCAGUAGGGAAUCUUCGGCAAUGGGGGCAACCCUGACCGAGCAACGCCGCGUGAGUGAAGAAGGUUUUCGGAUCGUAAAGCUCUGUUGUAAGUCAAGAACGAGUGUGAGAGUGGAAAGUUCACACUGUGACGGUAGCUUACCAGAAAGGGACGGCUAACUACGUGCCAGCAGCCGCGGUAAUACGUAGGUCCCGAGCGUUGUCCGGAUUUAUUGGGCGUAAAGCGAGCGCAGGCGGUUUGAUAAGUCUGAAGUUAAGGCUGUGGCUCAACCAUAGUUCGCUUUGGAAACUGUCAAACUUGAGUGCAGAAGGGGAGAGUGGAAUUCCAUGUGUAGCGGUGAAAUGCGUAGAUAUAUGGAGGAACACCGGUGG